rnacentral:rRNA from 1 species
UACGUAGGGUGCAAGCGUUAAUCGGAAUUACUGGGCGUAAAGCGUGCGCAGGCGGUUUUGUAAGUCUGUCGUGAAAUCCCCGGGCUCAACCUGGGAACUGCAUUUGUGACUGCAAGGCUAGAGUACGGCAGAGGGGGAUGGAAUUCCGCGUGUAGGCAGUGAAAUGCGUAGAUAUGCGGAGGAACACCGAUGGCGAAGGCAAUCCCCUGGGCCUGUACUGACGCUCAUGCACGAAAGCGUGGGGAGCAAACAGG